rnacentral:rRNA from 1 species
AUACGGAGGAUGCAAGCGUUAUCCGGAUUUAUUGGGUUUAAAGGGUGCGUAGGCGGUUUGCUAAGCGGGAGGUGAAAUGCCGGCGCUCAACGUCGGAAGUGCCUCCCGAACUGGUGGACUUGAAUGACUCUGCCGUGGGAGGAAUGUGUAGUGUAGCGGUGAAAUGCUUAGAGAUUACACAGAACACCGAUUGCGAAGGCAUCUCACGAAGGGUUGAUUGACGCUGAGGCACGAAAGCGUGGGGAUCAAACAGGAUUAGAUACCCUGGUAGUCCACGCAGUAAACGAUGAUGGCUAACCGCUGGGCUUAUCAGUUCAGUGGCCAAGCGAAAGCGAUAAGCCAUCCACCUGGGGAGUACGACCGCAAGGUUGAAACUCAAAUGAAUUGGCGGGGG